GAGUUUGAUCCUGGCUCAGGACGAACGCUGGCGGCGCGCCUAACACAUGCAAGUCGAACGGAGCUUAGAGAGCUUGCUUUUCUUGACUUAGUGGCGAACGGGUGAGUAACGCGUGAGUAACCUGCCCUGGAGUGGGGGACAACAGUUGGAAACGACUGCUAAUACCGCAUAAGCCCACGAUCCGGCAUCGGAUUGAGGGAAAAGGAUUUAUUCGCUUCAGGAUGGACUCGCGUCCAAUUAGCUAGUUGGUGAGGUAACGGCCCACCAAGGCGACGAUUGGUAGCCGGACUGAGAGGUUGAACGGCCACAUUGGAACUGAGACACGGUCCAAACUCCUACGGGAGGCAGCAGUGGGGAAUAUUGCACAAUGGGGGAAACCCUGAUGCAGCAACGCCGCGUGAGUGAAGAAGUAUUUCGGUAUGUAAAGCUCUAUCAGCAGGGAAGAUAAUGACGGUACCUGACUAAGAAGCUCCGGCUAAAUACGUGCCAGCCGCCGCGGUAAUUC
rnacentral:rRNA from 1 species